CCCUGUUUGGAGUAGUGGUUAGUGUGCUCGGCUACGGAGCCAGAGGUCGCUGGUUAGAUUCCCCCCACCAGAUG